rnacentral:lncRNA from 1 species
GGCAGGAGGGUAUGAUGGCCAAUAUUAUGGAUAUCUUUGGAGUGAAGUGUUUUCCAUGGACAUGUUUCACAGCUGUUUUAAAAAAGAGGGGAUCAUGAAUCCAGAGGUUGGAAUGAAAUACAGAAACUUAAUCCUGAAGCCUGGGGGGUCCCUGGACGGCAUGGACAUGCUCCAGAAUUUCUUGCAACGUGAGCCAAACCAAAAAGCAUUCCUAAUGAGUCGAGGCCUGAAUGGUACCAUCUCACCAUGGAGCCAGAUUGGCCCAGAACUCGAGCUUUUCCGCCCGCGAUUUUCUGAUACCCAGAAGCUGCUCUAAAAUGUUCUUCCCAUGGUAAGAUGUCUGCAGUGCUUGUCAUCAGAGAAACUGUCUGCCUAAGAAACUUUUAAAGAAAGUGCUCACCAAGUCCGUCAGGACACUUGGUAUCUGUGUUGAGAGGACACACCUUUGUGGUUGAGAGAUAAGACUGGAUAACUGGCUAAGUGGAUUCCUAGCUAUUGAAUAAAAUAUUCAAUAAUAUUUUAUUGAAUUUCAAGUC